AUUGAACGCUGGCGGCAGGCCUAACACAUGCAAGUCGAACGAGUGGCGGACGGGUGAGUAAUGUCUGGGAAACUGCCUGAUGGAGGGGGAUAACUACUGGAAACGGUAGCUAAUACCGCAUACUAUCGGAUGUGCCCAGAUUGGAUUAGCUAGUAGGUGGGGUAAAGGCUCACCUAGGCGACGAUCCCUAGCUGGUCUGAGAGGAUGACCAGCCACACGGGAACUGGGACACGGUCCAGACGCCUACGGGAGACAGCAUUGGGGAAUAUUGCACAAUUGGCGAAAGCCUGAUGCAGUGAGGCCGCGUGUAUGAAGAAGGCCUUCGGGUUGUAAAGUACUUUCAGCGGGGAGGCGUGACCUGCAGAAGAAGCACCGGCGGACUCCGUGCCAGCCGCCGCGGUAAUUC
rnacentral:rRNA from 1 species